CGGUAAUUCCAGCUCCAAGGGCGUAUACUAAUGUUAUUGCUGUUAAAAAGCUCGUAGUUGGACUUGGAUCUGUUCUGUGCUAGCCAUCAUUGGAGUCUCUGGAUCCACGUGGUUACUGGCUGCUUUGAUCCGUGUUUGGCACGAUUGGAUUAGAUCUUUUUCACUGGUUGACUCUGUCUGUGUGAUGGCCUCUUCACUGAGUCCAGAUCGAAUGGAGCCUCUUGGUUCGACUCUGGGGCUGCUCGCAGCCCGAGCGUGGUUCGUAAUGCUUCUCACGCAGUGUGCAUUUGCAUAAGGACAGUUGAUCGUGAUAUCGAGAACAAAACAGCGUGCUUAAGGCUGGAUCAGUAGAUGACAAAGCGUGCUAUAUCAAUGAACCGACCGGUUAUGUGCGGUUUGCAGAUUUCUGCAUGUAAUAGCGGGGAGUCUGAGCUUGUUGGCGUUGGGAAUGUACCCAUCGGCUCACCUCGGUGACCGUGGGACCACAGACCCAAUCAGCUACUCGUUUCAACGAUAUUAACAGGGACCGAUGGAGCAGUCCGUAUUGUCAGACGAGGGGUGAAAUCCUUAGACUCUGACAAGACGAACAAGGGCGAAAGCACUCUACUAAGAGGCCUUCAUUAAUCAAGAACGAGAGUGCAGGGAUCGAAGAUGAUCAGAUACCGUCGUAGUCUGCUACUGUAAACGAUGCANACUAGGGAUCAGUUGAUGGGACAACAUGAUUCUGUUGACUCGGUUGGUACCUCCGCUUCUCUCUUAACGCGAAAGCUGCAAGUCUUCGUGUUCAGGGGGGAGUACAGUUGCAAGGCUGAAACUUAAAGGAAUUGACGGAAUGACACCACAAGGCGUGGAUGCUGCGGCUUAAUUUGACUCAACACAGAGAAUGUUACCAGAUCAUGAGAUUUGGAGGAUUGACAGAUUGACAGUUCUUUCUUGAUUCAGUUAAUGGUGGUGCAUGGCCGCUCCUGGUUGGUGGAGUGAUUUGUCUGGUUGAUUCCGUUAACGAACGAGAUCCCACCCCUUCGAUUUCAGUUAUAUCGUACGUAAUCAUUGGACGCUAGCUCAUGUGGUUCGUCCGUUGGUGAGAUCUAAGAUGUAUGCAAGGGGACUAUGUGUGUUGAUAACACAUUGAAGUCUGGGCCAAUAGCAGGUCUGUGAUGCUCCUAGAUGUUCUGGGAUGCACGCGGCAUACAAUGGUGAAAGCAGUAGGAUUGGUUCGAUCGCGCUCCUGUUUCGAAAGUAUUGGGAAAUCCCCUCAGAUUUGACUGUGGCUGGGAUAGACAAUUGCAACUGUUUGUCUUGAACUAGGAAUGCCUUGUAAGCACAUCUCAUUACAGUGUAUUGAAUGCGUCCCUGCCGUUUGUACACACCGCCCGUCGUUGCAAUCGAUUGGUUUGAUCGUAGGGUACUUCUGGAGAAACACCAGCAGGCUCUCUCGAGUCUGAUGAUUGGGUUGAAGUUGAGCAAUACUGUGGAACUAGAGAAUGCAAAAGUCGUAACAAGGUAGCCG
rnacentral:rRNA from 1 species